rnacentral:rRNA from 1 species
GAUGAACGGCUAGCUACAGGCUUAACACAUGCAAGUCGAGCGGCAGCGCGGGGGCAACCCUGGCGGCGAGCGGCGAACGGGUGAGUAAUGCAUCGGAACGUGUCCUUGAGUGGGGGAUAACUCAGCGAAAGUUGAGCUAAUACCGCAUAAGCUCUGAGGAGGAAAGCGGGGGACCGAAAGGCCUCGCGCUGGAGGAGCGGCCGAUGUCCGAUUAGCUGGUUGGUGAGGUAACGGCCCACCAAGGCGACGAUCGGUAGCCGGACUGAGAGGUUGAACGGCCACAUUGGGACUGAGACACGGCCCAG